GUGGUCAUGGUGUAACGGCAGCACAAGGGUUUGUGGAACCCUUUGAGGCGGUUCGAAUCCGCUUGACCACC
rfam:Microgenomates (Roizmanbacteria) bacterium GW2011_GWC2_41_7 TT78_C0099, whole genome shotgun sequence.